AAUGAACGCUAGCGGUAGGCCUAACACAUGCAAGUUGAACGCAUACUUUUACAGUAUAAGUAGCAAACGGGUGAGUAACGCGUGAGAAAUCUACCUUACAAUCUGGGAUAAAAUCCCGGAUUCUUUCUAAACUAGAUGUUCCGACAAAUAGUAUAGAAUAAAAGAUUAAAUGUCGUUGUAAGAUGUGCUCGCGUAGGAUUAGGUAGUUGGUGAGGUAAAAGCUACACCAAGCCGAAGAUCCUUAGCUGGUCUGAGAGGAUGAUCAGCCACACUGGGACUGAGACACGGCCCAGACGCUUUCGAGCGGCAGCAGUGAGGAAUUUUGGACAAUGGGCGAAAGCCUGAUCCAGCCAUAUCGCAUGAGUGAAGAAGGCUCAAUUGGUUGUAAAGCUCUGAUUUGAUUGAAGAUUAUGACAUAAGAUCAAAGAAUGGUCCCGGCUAACUUCGUG
rnacentral:rRNA from 1 species